GGGAGGGCAGGAGGGGCAGCCGCCCCCGUUGCCCUUUACCAGGAAGCUAGGGCAAAGGGGGCAAAGGUGCCCUUCCAAUUUAAAUGAUUGUCUUGGCGAAAUAGCGAAUUGUCAGAAAUGUUAGUGCAAUUUUUUACGAAUUUGCUUCAGAAAACGCAAGUAAUGCAGUCACUGAGCUUUAAGAAUAGCAUACCCUAUCAUCCA